rnacentral:rRNA from 1 species
CGGGGGUAACUAUGACCCUCUUAAGGUAGCGUAAUACCUUGUCGCUUAAUUGGCGACUUGCAUGAAUGGUCCAACGAGGGCUCCACUGUCCCCGCGAUACGUCCGGCGAAAUUGACUUUACUGGCGCACAGUCCAGUAACCUCAACCUGCAAGCGAAGACCCCAUAGAGCUUUACUACAGCCUGGCGUUGUACAUUCGCACAUUUUGUGCUGAGUAGACGGGAGAUGUUUGAUCCUCGGAACGCUAGUUUCGAGAGUAGUCGUCCAUAGAGACACCGUCCUUAGUGUGUGACUGUACUAACUCUUAAUGAGAACACCGUUUGGUGGGUAGUUUGGGUGGGGCGCCACGCGCUCGAAAACAUAACAAGCGUGCCCAAAGGUCAGCUUAGGCGGUUCAGUCUCCGCCGUUAACUGUAAGGGGAAAAGCUGGCUUGACGUGGAUCGGAUCAAUAACGAUCGACGAUGCGAAAGCAGGGCCUAACGAACCAAUGUGCCUCAUUUCUGGGGGCCAUUGAUAACAGAAAAGUUACCUUGGGGAUAAUUGAGUUGUCACCAGCAAGAGCACAUAUCGACCUGGUGGCUUGCUACUUCGAUGUCGUCUCUUCCCAACCUCCCGGUGCAGCAGCUGGGAAGGGUGGGGUUGUUCGCCCAUUAAAGGGGAUCGUGAGAUGGGUUUAGACCGUCGUGAGACAGGUUUGUUGCUUUGUGGUUGAGGCGUAUCAGAUGCCUGAUCGGAAGGGUCCUUUAGUACGAGAGGAACGAGGACUCGGAGCCACUAGUUUACCAGUUGUCCGGCAGGGCAAUGCUGGGUAGCCACGCUCCAGUGGAUAAGAGCUGAAAGCAUCUAAGCUCGAAGUCAUCCGAAAGACGAGACACCUCAGGGGACUCGUAGAAGACGAGUUUGAUAGACAGCGGGUGUAAGUACCGAGGUUUUCCGAGGUAUUCAGCCCAGCUGCACUAA